rnacentral:lncRNA from 1 species
CAGAAAGCCAUGACGUUAGAGAUGGAGAAAGGUGAACUCUCCGACACAAGGCUGGCGGGCAAGUUCAGCUGAGGAAGCAAGUUCGGGUCCUCUCUGCAGAAUAUGGAGUUCAGAUCAAAGCUCACGUAACUCCCACUAAUAAAUGUCCAAAGAAAAUGGGCAGCUCUCGUUUGAGAUUCAAGAAACACAAAAAAAUAUGCACCUUGGGGAGAAUCAGCC